UUCACGAUCAUCCGCAGGGGAUUUUAAGGAAAUGCCCCGAGGGUAUCUAUUCUGAAUAGACGAUCCAAAGCACUUAAAAUUUACAGCAAUUUUAAAUGUUUAUUAAGCAUGUACCUGUAAAGCCCUUAUGUGUCAUGAUGACCCGAGGGUAUCUAUUCUGAAUAGACGAUCCAAAGCACUUAAAAUUUACAGCAAUUUUAAAUGUUUAUUAAGCAUGUACCUGUAAAGCCCUUAUGUGUCAUGAUGCAAUGUUUAUCAAAAAUUCGGAAGUCAUUUUUGCAAACAAAACAGUAAAAUUAAAAUGAAAACAGAGAUAUAUUGAAUAACAUGAUUUUAUUGAUUGAA
rnacentral:lncRNA from 1 species